GAUGAACGCUGGCGGCGUGCCUAAUACAUGCAAGUCGAGCGAACGGACGAGAAGCUUGCUUCUCUGAUGUUAGCGGCGGACGGGUGAGUAACACGUGGAUAACCUACCUAUAAGACUGGGAUAACUUCGGGAAACCGUAGCUAAUACCGGAUAAUAUUUUGAACCGCAUGGUUCAAAAGUGAAAGACGGUCUUGCUGUCACUUAUAGAUGGAUCCGCGCUGCAUUAGCUAGUUGGUAAGGUAACGGCUUACCAAGGCAACGAUGCAUAGCCGACCUGAGAGGGUGAUCGGCCACACUGGAACUGAGACACGGUCCAGACUCCUACGGGAGGCAGCAGUAGGGAAUCUUCCGCAAUGGGCGAAAGCCUGACGGAGCAACGCCUCGUGAGUGAUGAAGGUCCUCGGAUCGUAAAACUCUGUUAUUAGGGAAGAACAUAUGUGUAAGUAACUGUGCACAUCUUGACGGUACCUAAUCAGAAAGCCACGGCUAACUACGUG
rnacentral:rRNA from 1 species